rnacentral:rRNA from 1 species
UGAGGAAUUUUGCGCAAUGGGGGAAACCCUGACGCAGCGACGCCGCGUGGAGGAUGACGGCCUUCGGGUUGUAAACUCCUGUCAGAGGUGAAGAAGCCCGCAAGGGUUGACGGUAACCUCAGAGGAAGCCCCGGCCAACUACGUGCCAGCAGCCGCGGUAAUACGUAGGGGGCAAGCGUUGCUCGGAAUUACUGGGCGUAAAGGGUGUGUAGGCGGCUGAGCAAGUCAUGGAUGAAAUCCCGAGGCUUAACCUCGGAACUGUCCUUGAUACUGCUCGGCUUGAGGGCAGUGGAGGAGAAUGGAAUUCCCGGUGGAGCGGUGAAAUGCGUAGAUAUCGGGAGGAACACCUGAGGCGAAGGCGAUUCUCUAUGCUGUUCCUGACGCUGAAACACGAAAGCUAGGGGAGCGAACGGG